rnacentral:rRNA from 1 species
UACGGGGGGAGCAAGCGUUGUUCGGAUUUACUGGGCGUAAAGGGCGCGUAGGCGGGAUGGCAAGUCAGUCGUGAAAUCUCUCGGCUCAACCGAGAAACGUCGGCUGAUACUGCCGUUCUUGAGGGAUGCAGAGGAGACUGGAAUUCCCGGUGUAGUGGUGAAAUGCGUAGAGAUCAGGAAGAACACCCGUGGCGCAAGCGCCCACCUGGCCAUGACCUGACGCUGCGGCACGAAAGCGUGGGGAGCGAACCGG